rnacentral:rRNA from 1 species
AGCAUAUCAUAAGCGGAGGAAAAGAAACUAACAAGGAUUCCCCUAGUAACUGCGAGUGAAGCGGGAAAAGCUCAAAUUUAAAAUCUGGCGGCUUUUGGCUGUCCGAGUUGUAGUCUGGAGAAGUGCUUUCCGCGCUGGACCGUGUACAAGUCUCUUGGAACAGAGCGUCAUAGAGGGUGAGAAUCCCGUCUUUGACACGGACUACCAGUGCUUUGUGAUGCGCUCUCAAAGAGUCGAGUUGUUUGGGAAUGCAGCUCAAAAUGGGUGGUAAAUUCCAUCUAAAGCUAAAUAUUGGCGAGAGACCGAUAGCGAACAAGUACCGUGAGGGAAAGAUGAAAAGCACUUUGGAAAGAGAGUUAAACAGUACGUGAAAUUGCUGAAAGGGAAACGCUUGAAGUCAGUCGCGUUGUCCAGAACUCAGCCUUGCUUUUGCUUGGUGCACUUUCUGGUUGACGGGCCAGCAUCAAUUUUGAUUGUUGGAUAAAGGCUGGGGGAAUGUGGCACCUUCGGGUGUGUUAUAGCCCUCGGUCACAUACAACAGUUGGGAUUGAGGAUCUCAGCACGCCUUUAUGGUCGGGGUUCGCCCACGUUCGUGCUUAGGAUGCUGGCAUAAUGGCUUUAAACGACCCGUCUUGAAACACGGACCAAGGAGUCUAACAUGCCUGCGAGUGUUUGGGUGGAAAACCCGAGCGCGUAAUGAAAGUGAAAGUUGAGAUCCCUGUCAUGGGGAGCAUCGACGCCCGGACCUGACCUUCUGUGACGGCUCCGCGGUAGAGCAUGUAUGUUGGGACCCGAAAGAUGGUGAACUAUGCCUGAAUAGGGUGAAGCCAGAGGAAACUCUGGUGGAGGCUCGUAGCGAUUCUGACGUGCAAAUCGAUCGUCAAAUUUGGGUAUAGGGGCGAAAGACUAAUCGAACCAUCUAGUAGCUGGUUCCUG